rnacentral:misc_RNA from 1 species
GUAGGUGAACCUGCGGAGGGAUCAUUAACACGUUUAAACAACGUUUAUUAUACCAACCAACCGCGUGAAUUCAACUGAAUUAUACCCGACUUGAAAGAGAGAGAAACUGUCUAUUUACACGGAGUGAUGAGUGUGUUUGAAUUUUACAUGUGAAAGCAUGUAGCUUGAAACAUACGGUGUAUCUAGGCUUGUAAUGCUUCGACAUUACGGGAUUAUUUCUCUUUCAAGCUAUCAACAACUCCAAUGUUCC